rnacentral:rRNA from 1 species
GACGAACGCUGGCGGCGUGCUUAACACAUGCAAGUCGAACGGAAAGGCCCUGCUUUUGUGGGGUGCUCGAGUGGCGAACGGGUGAGUAACACGUGAGUAACCUGCCCUUGACUUUGGGAUAACUUCAGGAAACUGGGGCUAAUACCGGAUAGGAGCUCCUGCUGCAUGGUGGGGGUUGGAAAGUUUCGGCGGUUGGGGAUGGACUCGCGGCUUAACAGCUUGUUGGUGGGGUAGUGGCUUACCAAGGCUUUGACGGGUAGCCGGCCUGGGAGGGUGACCGGCACCAUGGGGCCUAGGGUAGGGCCCAGUGGGCAAGGGGGGGAAGGGGGGGGGAACAUGACCCAGGGGGGGGGAGCGGGAGGAGCAAACCCGCGGGGCGGAAAGACGGCCUUUGGGGAGAAAACCGCUUCCGCUUGAGACGAAGCGGUGGUGACGGUAAUGGGAAAAGAAGCACCGGCUAACUACGU